UUUACUGUGCACACAGGCCUGAAAAAUGUUGGCUAAUCUAAUACAAAUGUUCCUGAACUAAUGAUGGGCCUACACCCAGGUAAAGCUGCCAUUAAUUGAAAAGACUAAAUUCGAAAUGCACUUAAUGUGCCUGGCCUACCUAACAUCUUAGCUUAGCCAAGCUCGCCUUAAACUAUGCUUAGACAUUCACGGUUGGGCUGUGUAACACAAAGCCUGUUUUAUACAAAAGUGUUGAAUAUCUUGUGCAAUUAAUUGGAUAUCUGUGUCCAAAAUACCACUGCCAACACACACAGUCCUGUUCCACGAUUGCAGGGCUGACUGGAGCUACGACGGCCCCAGCAUCAAGGCCAAGUGUAUUGUGAGACUGGGAAGAGAUAAAACGUCAAAGUAGGAUCUGGGUGUGACUCUGGCUGAGGCAGGGGGAUUGCUGUGACUUUGAGGCCAGCCUGGACUACAGACCGAGAUCCUGUCUCAGAAAACAAAACCAAACCAAAUUCAGGCUACGAUUUCUACUGAAUGCACAUCACCUUCAAGUCCCUGUAGAGUCAGAAAUUGUAAGUCAAGCAGAGCAUUAGGAAUUGUAUAUGGUCCCCCUUUUUCUGAAGGGGAUCAGGUCCAAGCCCCCCAAGUAGACGCUGAGACCACAGGUGGCACCAGAUCGUGUACUGAUGAUGCUUCUCCCACACACGCAGACGCAGGCCUGAGCUGUCCCUCCUUCAAGGGGGGCCCAGAUCCACUCCCGCUGGCUUCAGAGAGGGCAUAUCCGGGUACUGUGGCUGUCGGCCUGGGGGGAUGGAACUUGGAACCUUACACUUGCAAGGCAGGUGCCGGAACCACUCAGGUGCCGAUCAUAAACUACGAGCAAGACACUGAACAAAUAAAAAGCUAACUGUGGCCGGGUAGUCACUAAAAGCAGGCAGAAACUAAAGGGUGGUCUGCCUUAGGGAAAGAGAACUCAGCUGGGAACAGCUAGCAGCCCAGCUGCCCGGGGGACCCCAGGGUCCAGGCCAUGCUGGGCAACUUAGGGAGACCCUGUCUCAAAAUGAAAGAAUGAGGGCCAGGGACUUGGCUCCGUGGCGUCAUGCCUGCCUGGAAAGUGCAGGGUCCUGAGUUCCAUCUCCGGUACAAAAACCCCAAACAAUCAAACCCCCCAAAAUGUAAGAAUGAGGAAGAGGUGCAGGUGGAGCUCAGUGGCUGGGCCGCCCUGGGUUCAGGCUGAAAUGCUACCAAGAAAGACAUGGGAGCAGCUGUGGCCUUGGCCUCACCUUCAGGCCAGGGGUGCAGACAGCUGGGCCGGGGUGGCUGCCAGGACAUGGCUGGGGUGGGGGGAGAAGCUAGGGAAGAGAGGCGAGGUGUGUUGGAAAAGGAGCUCAGACAGAGCCAGUCACAAACUCUGACUAUAAACUUUGCUUCAAAUCCUGGCCUACUUGGUUUUUCUGUUUUGCUUUGGGGUUUUUUUGUGCUUUUGAGACAGGGCCUCCCUAUGUAGUUCCAGCUGGCCUUGAACUCACUAUGUAGCCCAGGCUGGCCUUGAACUUGCAGCAGUCCUGCCUCAGCCUCCCGACUGCUGGGGACAGGACCGGCCCGCAGGCCGAGUGAGCUCAGCGGGCCAUGUGGCAGAAUUCAGUCCGGGGGCACAGAGUAUAAGUCACCAGAUCCCCUCCACACAGGCGAAAUGCAGCAACAGAAAAUGAUCAGGACCGAGCUUCGGGGCAGCUGUUACAACGGCACAUGAGACACUGACAAACCAACAAGGGAAUCUCAGGAGAGAGGCAGAAGUGAUAAAAUACGAGAAUCAAGUGGGAAUCUGCAUGUGAGCAAUGCAACUUGCGGCUGAAAUGAUAAUGAAGGGAUGAGUUCCGUAGCAGAUUGAAGACAGAGUUAGUCAGGUGAAAAACAAAUUAUGCAAAUUAUUGAAUCUGAAAUACAGAGAAACUGUGGGAGAACGGCCUCAGGCAUGUGAGAUGGCCUCAUGCAGCCUACAGUCACUGGCCCUCUGAAAGGAAAGACGAAAGCAGAAAAACUAUUUUUAGAAAUAUUGGCCAAUAUUUCUCUAAAUUUGGUUAAAAAAAUAAAUGAAACUAUAAACUUGCAGAUCCAAGCAUCUCAGUGAACCCCAAGCAGGAUAAACACAGACACAAACCUGGGCACAUCCAGGCCAAACUGCUGACAUCCAGCAAUGCCGCAGGCAGAGGGGACACCAGAGUACAGCAACCCGGGUGGCAGCUGUGGGCCCCAGACAGCAGGAGGCCCCAGACAAUGGCGCCUUUCACGGGCUCAACCUAGAAUCCUCCGCCAGGGAAGCACCCGCCAGAGAGGAAAGUGAAAGGGCUGCACAGCCAGCGCUGGGCACCAGCAGCCCCGCGACCCUCCAGGAAGGAAACCCUUCACACUUCAGCGGAAUGACACCAGCUGUCACUCAGCUCCCCAGGGAGGGGUGGAGAGCACCGGAAUGGUAAGUAUUUGGCAGACAUUAAAAAAAUACUUCAGGGGCUGGGGAUUUAGCUCAGUGGUUUCCGCACCUGCCUCACAAGCCCAAGGUCCCGAGUUCCAUCCCCGGUACCAAAAAAAAAAAAACUUCGCCAGGUGUGCUGGUACACAUCUGUCAUGCCAGCACUGGGGAAGCUGAGGCAGGAGGAUUGAUGCGGGUUUAAGACCAGCCUGGGCUACGUAGUGAGACCCUGUCUCAAACAACAACAAAAGUGAAUAGACACUUCUCAGAAGUACCAAUAGCCAGUAAAUACAUGAAAAAAUGUUCAACAUUGCUGGCCAUUAGAGAAAUGCAAAUUAAAACAACACUGAGAUUUCAUCCUACUCCAGAACGAAUGGCUGUCAUUAAGAAAUCAAAUAAUAACAAAUUCUGGUGAGGCUCUGGAGGAAAAGGAGCCCUUUGACAUUGUUGGUGUAGGUACAAACUGGUAUAACUACUAUGGAAACCUGUAUGGAGAUUCCUCAAAAAACUAAAAGUAGAAAUUUCAUUUGAUCCAGCUAUUCCCCUUCUAGGUAUCUUUACCUCUUCCAAAAGAGGUAAAGACAUCAUAUUACAGUGAUACAUGCAUACCCAUGUUUAUAGCAGCAUAAU